GGGCGGGUAGCGUAGUGGUCAGCGCAUUCCCUGAGCGUGUUCUUCCCUAGACUAAAGCGGAUUUCAGCGUUGAUUUUCUCCUCUUUCCCUAAAAAAAGCGUUCAUUGAAAGACCUGGGUUCGAAUCCCAGCCCGCCCA